rnacentral:lncRNA from 10 species
GGGAGGUGGAGGUUGCAUUGAGCUGAGAGAGACAGAGAGACGUGCAGGGUUGACAAGGAUGGGCUGGCGUGGGGGCAGGCCCCACACCCUCAGCCCUGCACGGGCGCAGCCCUCAGAAGGGAACUGGGCGGCAGGUACCUGCAUCACAGAUGCUCCGUCCUUGGGCCCAGGAUCUUCACCCCCAGUCAUCUGUCUUGUGGAGUGUGUCGCUAUGAAGAGGUCCCUGAGGCUGGGUCGUUCAUAACGAAGAGGGUUCAUUUGCUCACGGUUCUGCGGGCCGUACAGGAAAUGUGACACCGGCCUCUGGGCCGCUUCUGGGGAGGCCGGGGAGGUUUACCCAUCAAGGAAGGUGAAGAGGGAGCUGGUGUGUCACGGGUGAGAGGGAGCAAGAGGGAAGGUGCCGCACUCCUAAAUGGCUCUCAGGUGAGCAACAGGCAGGACGGGGGACGGUGCCGCAAUCGUAAACAGCUCU